GGCCCCGCGCGCCGCUACCGCACCGCCGCGAGUAGCUGCGCACGCCGAUCCGCGCCCGGCCCGGCCCGGCCCGGCCCCGGCCCCGCCGCGCCCCGGCACCACCGGCAGGGCCCGAACGCUCGCCCGGGGCCGCCUGGAUGCUUCUGGCGGCCUUCUUCCCCCUUCCCCUCCCCCACCCCUCCCCACCCCCCGGCCUCAUGGCUAAUGUCAUGCAAAUAAUAAGAUUAUCGGGAUGUUGCCGGGGUGUCUGCCUCGGUGGGCUCAUCACGGUGACAGCCAGACUCAGGCGGCCGCAAAAGUCAUAUUUAUUAUUGGAGGUUUUUUCCAUAUGACCUUUCCACUCUUUUUUUCUCUUUUGGUCUUAUUUUGACAUUAAAGGGAAUUUCAUGCUUGUUAUACAUUUAGCCCAAAGCCUACAAAUGUGCUGUCACCCAGUGUCCUGAUGGAAAAAUAUGACAUCACUCAAGUCAGGACAAUAAAGAUCAUUGCUACAUACAUUCAUAUCUGUGUUGAAAGCAGAACUCUCGAAACACUGGGAAAUGUUGUGGGCUGAUGUGAUUCAUUUUCAUAUUCAGAGCCUCGAGACUGCAGUGCAAGGCCAUCUGCGCCCAGACAGACAGGCAGACACGUGUCUCCCUCUCUAAAUUGAUUCAUGUGGCCUGUAAUACCUGCACUUUCUAGUGAUCAUUGUUAAUUCACCACUGAGAUGUGAAGAUUUAGAUUCCUCAGGCUUUAUCAGGAAUUCAAUCCAAUCUAGUAACCUCUGAAAAGAAUUUUGAUGCUGUUACUCUGUUGCAGAGGUUACAAAGAGGGAUGCACUAUUCCUGGUUCCUUCCCCAUACCAUUAUACAACCAGUGCAUAUCUGCUGCUCAGGAACACUGUCUAUUAGACGCAAGCUGCCCUUUUUGAGGAACAAUGAAUAGAGAGGAAAAGGAUUCUGAAGAAAUUCACAUAUGCGAUGGUAAUGCUGGAAGAAAAUUAACCUCGUGUGAUGCCAUGGCCCAAAGAGCUGCUGUACACAGAAAUGGAUUGGGUACACAGAAAUGGAUAUGUCAGGAAGGAGAACAGAGGCUGAACGAUCUCUGCUUGGCACUGGUGGUGUGAUGUCUGCUGAAGUAGUCCCAUUCAAUUAUCUGUACUUCAAGAAGGAUGAUGGAGGAACUACAGAGAAGAGUACUGAUAAAGACAAAAGGAUUGUCUUAUUUUUAAAGAAGUGAUCCAUUUAACUUAUCAAUGAACUCAACCCUCUGGAAGAAGGAACGCGAGCUAUCAGAGAACUUCUCAGUCCAUCCCACAAACAUAGGCAGAUCUACAGCUCAAAGUUACAGGCAAGUAGCAGGUUUUUAAGGAAAUCAACCAGUGAAGCAGCUGGUGGGGAUGUCCUUUGACUGGAAUCUUAAAGUAAGCACAACUACUGACCUCAAAAGGCAGCAAGAAGUCCCAAUGUCCACAUUAUGACAUGAUAUGCUUAGAGCAAACCAUCACAAUGGUGCUUUCUAGCAGACCUUCAAGCGCAGACCUCUGAGAAACCAAAGUGUGAUUGGAUAAAUAUUUACAUAUUGGUUAUUUGAUACAAAUUUUCAUGAAACAUGUCGUUAAUACUCUGACAACAAAGAAGUUUUACUUUGCCACCCCAGUUUGCACCUGUGUUGCUUCUGCAGGUGUGUGUGAAGAGGACUGUGUUUCUAUUUCUAACAGCAAUAGCUUUAUAUAAAAUAAACACUUUCUCUGAAGUUUAUGGCUUAGGGGUUUUUUCCAUAUUCCAAAAGUUUUUCCUAGAGCCUUAUUUAAGAAAGAGGAGAUACCAAGGUUAAUCACCAAACCCUUUGCUCUAGCAGUAAGCUAAACUAUUACACAGGCAAUGAAUCAGGCCUGCCUUUCAGUCCUAAUUUCUAUAUGGCUGUAGUUGACCUAGUACAAUUCAGAGGCUCUCUUCAUGAGGCCAGUGCUCCACAUGGGCACAAAUGAAAAUGCACUAGAGGGAGAGGAGAGUUGGUUCAUUUUUUAUUAUUAAAUUAAAAAUAAAGUACUAGGAGAUGUUUAAAAUACGAUUAUGAUGAUAAGCAAAAUGAAAUAAAAAAUAAUAUUUAAUUUUUGAAAAUAUACUUCUUAAUUCCAUGCUUUGGCCAACUAUGUUUAAAAACUGAGUAUUUAAACUAAGACAUUCAGGUAUAAAAUCAAUUUUUAGUUUCUGUCUUGUUCCUCUUGAAACCAAAAGUGGAUUUGCCACUACUUCCUUGGGAACAAAAUAAGACCCUUAAUUUUCAAUACCUUAUAACUACCGGAAAAACACUGUAUGCAGUAGGGAUGAAUGCAAC